CAGAUUCCUUCUAACCAGUAACUCUUCACUCUGUUCGUCUCUCUUCUCCUCCAGCAGGAAGACAACGUGAUAGACAUCAGAGAAUAUGUCAUCGCCUUAUCGGUUGUAUGCAGACCUGCUAAAACUCUGGAGACCAUGAAACUGGCCUUCAGGAUGUUUGAGGCGGAGGAGGACGGUGCGAUCACAGUGGCUGAGUUGGCCUGCAUCCUAAAGACGGCGUUAGGAGUGGCUGACCUCGACGUCUCACGUCUCUUCACUGCUAUCGACACAGAGGACACGGGGAAACUCACCUUUGGCAAGUUCAGGAGCUUUGCAGAGCAUCACCCAAACUUCAGUGAGGACUACCUGUCCACAGACAAUACAGGCCGUAACGGCUGUCCUCACCAGCCCAACGCCACGCCCAACGCCAAGCCUCAGACCAACGGCUUCUGCCCUGACUUCAGCCCGCGAGACAAACACCGCGACACAACGACGGACUGUUCAGUGAAGAAACACAACUGAGUCCGUUAGUCACCUCAGAAUCCACCUCUCCUGGUGAGAGAGUGGGUGGUGGGGGUUGUUGUUGUUGUUGGGCUAUAUGUAUGGUCAGUCGGAUACACACACACACACACACACACACACACACACACACACACACACACACACACACACACACACACACACACACACACACACACACACACGAGAAAUGUAACCCUUAUUAACCGUAUCCAGAAUGUUUCUACGGUUCAUUUGAUCUUGGUAAUCUGACGUUGUUUGUUUUUCGUAGAGUUUUUCUGUAUUUGUUCUGAGGAAGGAACAUUUUAAAUGCCAAAAAGAUGGCUGAUGACGAUUGAGGAGAAGUGAAGCGUGAAACACUGGAAGGGAAGCACAUGUGAUGUUUCCUCCAUGUUGGGGUCUGGGAGAGGUCGAGAGACAACACCUCAACCAGAGAAGAACGUGAUGUUUCCUCCAUGUUUGGGUCUGGGAGAGGUCGAGAGACAACACCUCAACCAGGGAACAACAUGUGAUGUUUCCUCCAUGUUUGGGUCUGGGAGAGGUCGAGAGACAACACCUCAACCAGAGAAGAACGUGAUGUUUCCUCCAUGUUGGGGUCUGGGAGAGGUCGAGAGACAACACCUCAACCAGAGAAGAACGUGAUGUUUCCUCCAUGUUGGGGUCUGGGAGAGGUCGAGAGACAACACCUCAACCAGGGAAAGGAACCUUAGUUUUGAGUGAAUUCGGUGUUUAUUUCUUAGUUUAAUCUUCUUCUUUCUGAUGGAAAGAUGGCAGGUUUGACUCUGGGUGCUUUACUGUCAGUGAGCAGUAUUGAGGGACUGUGACGGAAUAGAACAGCCUUAAAGCACCAGUGACAUUGUCUGAGCCCACUUUGGCUUUGAUUGAACUUUUGAGAUGCAAUAUGGCUGAUGUACAGAUGUAGGAUCUUAAUUUGAGCCAGUUGGCUACAGCAGGGAAAAUAAUCCUGCAUCAACAGGAAAUGUUUUAAUUAUUAUAUGGAUUAUAAUGUAUGGUAAUUUUUGGGCAGGUUAAUACAUCAAUAUAUAAAAUAAGGGAAAAUAAAGUCUGACAUUUCUAAGUGGAAAUUACAAACAUCAAAAUAAAUUUUAAACCUAAAAUACACGACACAUUUUAAAUGCAGGAAAGUUCUCCUGAAACAUGGUGAUCAAAUUAAGAUCCUACACCUGUAAAAUGGGUCAGAUUUAAGGUGUGAUUAUGGCUGAUAUCAGAGAGGUCAGAUUUAAGGUGUGAUUAUGGCUGAUAUCAGAGAGGUCAGAUUUAAGGUGUGAUUAUGGCUGAUAUCAGAGAGGUCAGGUUUAAGGUGUGAUUAUGGCUGAUGUCAGAUUUAAGGUGUGAUUAUGGCUGAUGUCAGGUUUAAGGUGUGAUUAUGGCUGAUAUCAGAUUUAAGGUGUGAUUAUGGCUGAUAUCAGAGAGGUCAGAUUUAAGGUGUGAUUAUGGCUGAUAUCAGAGGGGUCCGGUUUAAGGUGUGAUUAUGGCUGAUAUCAGAGAGGUCAGGUUUAAGGUGUGAUUAUGGCUGAUAUCAGAGGGGUCAGAUUUAAGGUGUGAUUAUGGCUGAUAUCAGAGAGGUCAGAUUUAAGGUGUGAUUAUGGCUGAUAUCAGAGAGGUCAGAUUUAAGGUGUGAUUAUGGUUGAUAUCAGAGAGGUCAGAUUUAAGGUGUGGCUUUAAGGGAAAACAGAACCAGCAGGGUGUAAGUCAUGUAAUGUGACUGCGUUGCCCUUAGUCGUCAGUGCAGACGACCGUCUCUCCUAAAGACCAAGACUUCAGACAUGAGAUCUGAGUUAAUAUAUGAGAUGUUCGCUGGAUUACAUUGUUUGUUUGUUUAACUGACAGUAAACCUGUUUAAAUAGACGUAAUCUAAAGUAGUGCACUAUGUAGGGAAUAGGGCCCUGGUCUAAAGUAGUGCACUAUGUAGGGAAUAGGGCCCUGGUCUAAAGUAGUGCACUAUAUAGGGAAUAGGGCUCUGGUCUA